rnacentral:rRNA from 1 species
GACGAACGCUGGCGGCGGGCUUAACACAUGCAAGUCGAACGGAAAGGCCCUGCUUUUGUGGGGUGCUCGAGUGGCGAACGGGUGAGUAACACGUGAGUAACCUGCCCUUGACUUUGGGAUAACUUCAGGAAACUGGGGCUAAUACCGGAUAGGAGCUCCUGCUGCAUGGUGGGGGUUGGAAAGUUUCGGCGGUUGGGGAUGGACUCGCGGCUUAUCAGCUUGUUGGUGGGGUAGUGGCUUACCAAGGCUUUGACGGGUAGCCGGCCUGAGAGGGUGACCGGCCACAUUGGGACUGAGAUACGGACCAGACUCCUACGGGAGGCAGCAGUGGGGAAUAUUGCACAAUGGGCGGAAGCCGGAUGCAGCAACGCCGCGUGCGGGAUGACGGCCUUCGGGUUGUAAAACGCUUUCGCCUGUGACGACGCGUGAGUGACGGUAAUGGGUAAAGAAGCACCGGCUAACUACGUG